CAAACCUGCAGAGAAUCUGCCGCUCACUUUCCUAUUAACAGAAUAGUGAAAUGUUUUCAAUUGGUGGGAAAAAGAUCCUGAUUUCAAGAAAGAAUAUCCUAUUGUUUCUUUGUGAUGGCAGUCAUAUGCUUACGAAAUAAUAGGGGAUAUUCUCCUGGGAAUUUAUAGAGAAGUCAUUCUCCCUUACAAAAGGGGCAUGCUUGAGCGAAGUGUACACACUUGCCACCAUGUUUCCCUCCUGUCAUAAAUGUGACAAGAGUAAUAUAGCUGAAGCAGCCAUCUUGUGACCACAAGCAACGGACUAGUAGGGGAAGAGUCGACACACUGAAGAGAAGAAAGCAAAAAGAAGAAAGAGAAAAGUGGAUUCUCAACUAGAAGCAAAAACAUCCACUGAAGUUUGUGAGAGUGCAAUAGGCAGUGCCACAGAUCUUUCUGAGGAAGUACUACCAUAUGACUUCACCUUCUCAGGCUGAGGUAUCAGCUUGACUGUCACUCCACAGAUCAAGACUAGAGGUAAAUGUAAACACUAUACAGGUGGGAUGAGAAACAGCUGUUCAGCUGCCUGGCUAGAAGAACAGGCCCAGUUCUUUGCUACAGGAUGGACAUGGAAAAGUUCAGGCAUUUGAAGUUACUGGCGUCAGCCACAUGAGAUUGAUGACGGGAUUGGCUUCUACAAGAGGUCCAUGUGGUUCUCAUUUCUGAAAACAGAUGUUUGGAAACCAAUGUUUUCAAAGAUAAUAUGAAACUACACCAAUAUGCUGCACUAUGGAGAAAAACUAACCUUGACAGAAGAAAAAAGAUUUUCUUGAGGCAGAAGAUGAAGGACUAUUGGUCGGGACAUUCACAGAAGUCUGUUCUGUAAGUUGGGUUAUAUGGAAGCAGAGAUGCUAGGUCAACCCAUGUUGUGCCCUCCCUCUUUUGGUAAGCAAAACACUGAUGCUUAUGACAUCUUCCUUUUCUUUGGUGGUGGCCUUGAAAAUUGUUAUUCCUUCCAGAAAGGGCUGGAUGUCACUCGCUUAUGAAUUUGAAUCCUUCUCUUUUUGCCAAAUGAUAGAACUGAGCUUGCUCCAUGAGCUUCAUGUGUGUAAACAUUAGUGGGGAUCCAAGUGGCUCUGCAGGUAGAAUAGACACUCAGGUCCCUCCUGCCCAAGUCCAGGGGCUUGCUUCCAUGAAUCCAAUCCUUUAGUUCAUAUCAGUUCAUGGUGUACCAGAAGCCUCAACACAUCUGCAAAUUUUUACAGAACAUGUUUGUGCAAGGAAAUAAAUUAGGUCACCAGGCCUUCAAAGGCUCCUUCCACUUAGGGGUGGUGGAGCCCAUGAAGCUGAGAAUCACCCUUGCCAGCUGUUGGAACUUGAAAUAAUCCUCCAAAAACCUCUUGCUAUUUUAGGAGGGUCAUCCUGGUGGGUCUGUGUAUGCUGUAAAAGAGUGGCUCACUAUUUAACCACCCAUCUCUACUGUGCUGAUUUAGGGACCACGAUCACUUGAGCUUUUCUUGGUGCCUGGGAUCUGUCUUUCUGCACAGGGAUAAUCUAGGCUUAUUUGUGGCUUUUUUCCCCUGCAUUUCCUUUACUUGCUCACUUUCCUUCUUUUCCUCACUAUGUUUCCAUUUGAAAUCAGUUUUCACAUAUGCAUUUCAGUGCAACUCUACCUUCAGGAACUUACUGGAUUACACAGGAAAUUCCUUAUAGUGUGUGACCAUCUGCACUGCAAACAAUUUUCAGGGAAUUGACUAGCUACUAAUACCACUUACAAAAAAUCUAAUAAGGGGUUUAACAUUUUCAUAAGGAAAAUUAAUAUUUAUAUUUUCUGUUUUGGUUGGGUUACAUUUUUACUAUUUUGAGAAAAAAAGUAUUGCAUUUUUAAAAAGUGAACAAAAAAAGCUCUCAUACAAUUGAAUGGUAUUGCCAAAAGAAAUUAAGAAGUCAGAAUUUGAUGAUUCAAUAUAUUAUAAAUAUAUUUUUGACCAUAGUCCUAAACUAUCAUCUGUCAAGUUGUAUUAUUUUGAGUACAUAAGUAUUUUUCAUGUUCUUAUUUGUUUUCUAUAAUGCCUCAUAACAUAUAUAGCUCUGUGAGUCUGUUCUUUCAGAAGAUCUUAUCUCUUGUUAGUUUUCAAGGAUUUCCAGGUUCACAGCAGCUGACUUUUUACUACACAUUUUAUGACUCUAAAACCAUUAGAAGAACAUCAAUGCUUCCCUAAAUUGGUUUUUUGGAGAAAAUGUAAUAUGUUUGAUGAAUUCAAAUAAAAAGAUGGAAACAUAACAGCAUAUUGGAUUACUUGUUAAUUUUUCUUUCUCAAAUGUUUUAUAUUGAAAGGAAUUGAUUUGUGGAGUACAUUUUCAAACCAAUUUCACCUUCGUUUCUAGAAAAACUACAUUUUGUCCUAGAAAGCUAUCGACAUUUCAUCAGAGGAAAUAGAUUCAGAAUUGCUGCCCAGUAAAAUCUUUUUUAGCGAUAGUUCUCUAUCUUUCACCAAAGACAAUGCAAUUGACCUUGGGUUGGAGGAUAAAAAGCUGCCAUUAUCAAGUGACAGAAUAACUGGUUGUCUUCCUCUGCUAGGUUUUUGGCAUCACAGAGUUCUCUGAGUCAAGCUUUCACAUAGAGAAAUAACUAAUCCAAUAACUAUAACAACUUAAAUUAUACAAUUACUUUAUCUUUGUCAAUUUAAACUGGUGAGUUUAUCAAAAACAAAAACGGAACUUCAAACACAUUUAGAGAUCAUAAGCAUAAGUGAAAUAAGACUUAAAGGUAUCUUACCAUCUAAAAUCAUCACAAGUCAAUUUCAUAUACCUUAAGAUGUUUAUCUCUGUGCCCUGCCUCAUUUCAGAACAGGAGGCCAGAAUCCAUUCAAAUUAAAAUAGUUUCAAAUAGCAAUUCAAAAACAAACCCAUUAAUUGUCUCUUUCCAAAUGAUUAUUAGAAAUGAGCUUCUUAAAUAGAAAAAAAAUCUAAACUCUAAAGCAAUCAU
rnacentral:lncRNA from 1 species